AUCAUUUUCUCUGGCAGCCCAACAGGGCCAUCUCUACUGCAAGAUUUCUAUCGUCUCCGCGACCUCGAUUUCUCAGCAAGGCAUCUCGCGACUCCUCAUGUCAUCUCUGUGGCGGCUCCGCGAUUGCCUCCCUCCGCUGCCGUGACCAAGCUUCCUUCGCGACCAUAAGCCACGAUAUCUCCUAGCUCCCAAAGAUCGUCGAUCUCACUUCCAAUUGCAGAGGAUCUCAAGCCGCGGUAGCCAAUCUCACUACUAUUUUCGUCUGAAGGGUUGAUGGUUGAUCGUCUCCGACUCUUCACUUCGUCGUCACCGUUUCUGCUCUCUGCACCACUCACUCAUUCCAGCCAGAAACAUCCGGAUGCUCAGCUAUGUUCACAAGAAGUUGCUUAGCAGAGGAUGAUACUCUGUUCACGCAGCUAUUCGUAAAAACUUUUACGGAGAUAGUGAAAUUGAGGAGACAAUCAGAGAGAUGGAAGCAACAGAGGAGAGAUUAGUUGUGUACGAUGUUGAUGUGUUGGAUUAUCAAAGCAUACUUGUCUCUCUCAAGACAUCUAACGCCGUCUUCUGCCUGUUGGAAAGCCCUGAAGGAUACGAUGAGAAGGAAGUGGAUUUGGAGGUGAGAGGAGCUAUCAAUGUGGUGGAAGCAUGUGAAAGAACAGAGAGCAUAGAUAAGAUUGUGUUCUCUUCUUCUUCUUUAACAGCUUCAAUUUUGAGAGACAACAUUGGAACUCAGAAGGAUGUUGAUGAGAAGUGUUGGAGUGAUCAAGACUUCUGUCGCAACAAAAAGGUUUCUAAUCUUUCUUCACUUAAUGUAGGUAGCUCAAAUUAUUUCAUUUCAUCGUUUUCCCACUUACAAGUGACUGGGUUCUAUGUUCUCCUUGAGCGGCUUUGAUUUCACUAGGUGAUACGGUUCAGUGAUGAACACCCGGUUUGAUGAGUUAAACGGACCGAUUACACCCAUUCCUGAAGAACAAUUCAGGUUUGGUCAAAGUAUGAACUCCAAGAGUUUCUGAAACCAAGCUUGAGGAGAACAACAGGGUAAGCUUGCUCGACAAAGAAACUAUCUUUUCUUAAUCAAGUCUUUCUACAAAAUUCAUUGAUAGUUUUGCCCAAGUUCGUUGUCAAAGAAGAUAAAGGAAUGGUAGAGUUUAUUGGAUUGCUUGAGGUGGCUGUUAAGAAAGGUACUAACUUAGCUAUCAGAGACAUGAUGUCAAGUGAUGCUUAUGUUGCCUUGAAUCUAGGGAAGCAAGUAAGUGUAUCUCUUUGUGACUGUUUACUAACCUGCAUCUAUAGACUCUUUGUGGAUCUUAAAAGCUAUUGUUCAUAAACUUCAAAAAACUGUUGUGAAUUGUAAUUUGAACCCGGUAUGGAAUCAAGAACUCAUGCUGUCUGUUCCUGACAGCUAUGGUCCUGUAAAACUGCAAGUGUAUGAUUAUGAUACAUUCUCUGCUGGUGAUAUAAUGGGAGAAGCUCAACUUGAUAUCCAGCCUCUGAUAACAUCUGCGAUGGUGUUUGGGGAUCCAGAGAUGUUUGGGGAUAUGCAGAUUGGGAAAUGGCUAAAGUUGCAUGAUAAUCCGCCAAUAGAUGACAGCAUCAUUUGACAGCAUCAUUUCGAUCCAAAAAAAAAGAUGACAGCAUCAUUAACAUUGUUGAUGGGAAAGUGAAGCAAGAGGUUCAGAUCAAGCUUCAGAAUGAAGAGUCUGGAGAAUUAGAGCUGUAAAUGGAAUGGCUGCCACUUAACCAAUAAUACUAAUGCCAGUAGAUUUCACUUUAUAUAUAAAACUUACACAUUUUGCAAUACAUACAUUCUCUUUUUCUUUUGUUGGAACAUUUUUUGAUCUCUCAUUUCUUACACAAGAAAGUGUUAAUUUGUAAUAUUUUGUUUCCUGAUGGUUAUAUCUUACAAAGUUACACAUUUGUA